rnacentral:rRNA from 1 species
GACGAACGCUGGCGGCGUGCCUAAUACAUGCAAGUAGAACGCUGAAGAGAGGAGCCUGCUCUUCUUGGAUGAGUUGCGAACGGGUGAGUAACGCGUAGGUAACCUGCCUUGUAGCGGGGGAUAACUAUUGGAAACGAUAGCUAAUACCGCAUAACAAUGGAUGACACAUGUCAUUUAUUUGAAAGGGGCAAUUGCUCCACUACAAGAUGGACCUGCGUUGUAUUAGCUAGUAGGUGAGGUAACGGCUCACCUAGGCGACGAUACAUAGCCGACCUGAGAGGGUGAUCGGCCACACUGGGACUGAGACACGGCCCAGACUCCUACGGGAGGCAGCAGUAGGGAAUCUUCGGCAAUGGGGGCAACCCUGACCGAGCAACGCCGCGUGAGUGAAGAAGGUUUUCGGAUCGUAAAGCUCUGUUGUAAGUCAAGAACGAGUGUGAGAGUGGAAAAUUCACACUGUGACGGUAGCUUACCAGAAAGGGACGGCUAACUACGUGCCAGCAGCCGCGGUAAUACGUAGGUCCCGAGCGUUGUCCGGAUUUAUUGGGCGUAAAGCGAGCGCAGGCGGUUUGAUAAGUCUGAAGUUAAAGGCUGUGGCUCAACCAUAGUUCGCUUUGGAAACUGUCAAACUUGAGUGCAGAAGGGGAGAGUGGAAUUCCAUGUGUAGCGGUGAAAUGCGUAGAUAUAUGGAGGAACACCGGUGGCGAAAGCGGCUCUCUGGUCUGUAACUGACGCUGAGGCUCGAAAGCGUGGGGAGCGAACAGGAUUAGAUACCCUGGUAGUCCACGCCGUAAACGAUGAGUGCUAGGUGUUGGAUCCUUUCCGGGAUUCAGUGCCGCAGCUAACGCAUUAAGCACUCCGCCUGGGGAGUACGACCGCAAGGUUGAAACUCAAAGGAAUUGACGGGGGCCCGCACAAGCGGUGGAGCAUGUGGUUUAAUUCGAAGCAACGCGAAGAACCUUACCAGGUCUUGACAUCCCGAUGCUAUUUCUAGAGAUAGAAAGUUACUUCGGUACAUCGGUGACAGGUGGUGCAUGGUUGUCGUCAGCUCGUGUCGUGAGAUGUUGGGUUAAGUCCCGCAACGAGCGCAACCCCUAUUGUUAGUUGCCAUCAUUCAGUUGGGCACUCUAGCGAGACUGCCGGUAAUAAACCGGAGGAAGGUGGGGAUGACGUCAAAUCAUCAUGCCCCUUAUGACCUGGGCUACACACGUGCUACAAUGGUUGGUACAACGAGUUGCGAGUCGGUGACGGCAAGCUAAUCUCUUAAAGCCAAUCUCAGUUCGGAUUGUAGGCUGCAACUCGCCUACAUGAAGUCGGAAUCGCUAGUAAUCGCGGAUCAGCACGCCGCGGUGAAUACGUUCCCGGGCCU